rnacentral:rRNA from 1 species
UACGUAGGUGUCGAGCGUUGUCCGGAUUUAUUGGGCGUAAAGCGCCCGCAGGCGGCUUGGCAAGUUUGAGGUGAAAUCUCCCGGCUCAACUGGGAGGGUGCCUCGAAAACUGCCAGGCUUGAGUCAUGGAGAGGGAUGUGGAAUUCCAGGUGUAGUGGUGAAAUUCGUAGAUAUUCGGAAGAACACCAGUGGCGAAGGCGACUCACUGGACACGUAUUGACGCUGAGGUGCGAAAGCGUGGGGAGCAAACAGG